rnacentral:rRNA from 1 species
GGGAUGGACGCACCGCUGGUGUACCAGUUGUUCUGCCAAGGGCAUCGCUGGGUAGCUAUGUGCGGACGGGAUAAGUGCUGAAAGCAUCUAAGCAUGAAGCCCCCCUCAAGAUGAGAUUUCCCAUUCCUAUAAGGAAGUAAGAUCCCUGAAAGAUGAUCAGGUUGAUAGGUCUGAGGUGGAAGUGUGGCGACACAUGGAGCUGACAGAUACUAAUCGAUCGAGGACUUAACCUA